rnacentral:snRNA from 1 species
GGAUGUGAAGGCUAUCUGGCUGUGACAUCCAUCACCCCAUUGAUCACCAGGGUUGAUUUGGCUGAUAUGGUUGGCUAGGCAGAUGUCCUCUUCCUUCCUCACCAUUCAUGUGAGUCUCUCCAGAAGCUUUGUGCUUAGUCAAAGAGCAUAUUUGGGAGCUACUUUCUUCCCUGAUCCAG